AUAAGUGAAACUGCGAAUGGCUCAUUAAAUCAGUUAUCGUUUAUUUGAUAGUACCUUACUACUUGGAUAUCCGUGGUAAUUCUAGAGCUAAUACAUGCUAAAAUCCCCGACUUCGGAAGGGGUGUGUUUAUUAGAUAAAAAACCAAUGCCCUCCGGGGCUCUUUGGUGAUUCAGAAUAACCUCCCGAAUCGCAUGGCCUUGCGCCGGCGAUGGUUCAUUCCAAUUUCUGUCCUAUCAACUUUCGAUGGUAAGGUAUUGGCUUACCAUGGUUUCAACGGGUAGCAGAAAAUUAGGGUUCCAUUCUGGAGAAGGAACCUGAAAAACGGCUACCACAUCCAAGGAAGGCAGCAGGCGCGCAAAUUACCCAAUCCCGACUCGGGGAGGGAGUGACCAUAAAUACUGAUACAGGGCUCUUUUGGGUCUUGGAAUCGGAAUUAGUACCAUUUAAAUCUCUUAACGAGGAACAAUUGGAGGGCAAGUCUGGUGCCAGCAGCCGCGGUAAUUCCAGCUCCAAUAGCGUAUAUUAAAGUUGUUGCAGUUAAAAAGCUCGUAGUUGAACCUUGGGCCUGGGUGGGUGGGCCGCCUCACCGCGUGUACUGGUCUGGCCGGGCCUUUCCUUCUGGAGAACCUCAUGCCCUUCACUGGGUGUGCUGGGGAACCAGGACUUUUACUUUGAGAAAAUUAUAGUGUUCAAAGCAGGGCUUUGCUCGAAUACGUUAUUCAUGGAAUAAUAGAAUAAUGACGAUGCGGGCCUAUUUUUGCUGGGGUUCUAGAACCGCCGUAAUGAGUAAUAUGGGACAGUCGGGGGGCGUCAGUAUUUCAAUUGUCAGAGAGGGAAAUUCUUUGGACCUCUUGUAGGACUAAACUACUGGGGAAAGCAUUCUUCCAAGGAUGUUUUCAUUUAUUCACGGGAACGAAAAGUUAGGGGGAUCGAAAAACGAUCAGAAUCCGGUCGGAAGUCUUAACCCGUAAACUAUGGCCGACUAAGGGAUCGGGGCGGAGGUUUUU
rnacentral:rRNA from 1 species